rnacentral:rRNA from 1 species
UACGAAGGGGGCGAGCGUUGUUCGGAUUUACUGGGCGUAAAGGGCGCGCAGGCGGCUUAUUUUGUCAGGCGUGAAAGCCCCGGGCUUAACCUGGGAACUGCGUUUGAUACUGAUGGGCUAGAGUUCGGGAGAGGAGCGUGGAAUUCCCAGUGUAGAGGUGAAAUUCGUAGAUAUUGGGAAGAACACCGGUGGCGAAGGCGGCGCUCUGGACCGAGACUGACGCUGAGGCGCGAAAGCGUGGGGAGCAAACAGG